UUUUAUUCUAGCUUAAAAAUUUAUUUUUAUUUUUAUUUUACAUGUAAAUUUUAGUGAGAGUGAAUUUAUUUUUUAAUAAAAUAAAUUUUUAUUUAAUCGCAGUAUAAAAUUUUAAAUAUUAAAGAAAUUUAGAUUUAUAAAUAAUAAUUAGUAUUGACAAAGUUUGUGCCAGCAGUUGCGGUUAUACAAACAAUACAAUUGAAUUUUUUUGGUAAUAGUUAAUUUUAAAAAUUAAUUCAUUUAUAAUUUAAUUAAUAAGGUGAAAUUUUAAAUUAAAUUUAAUUGAUUAUUAUAUUGAUGAGGCUAAGAAAUUUAUUUUUAAACUAGGAUUAGAUACCCUAUUAUUUUAAAUUUAAUUUUUUUAUCAAAUUAGUAUUAGUUAAGUUCUUGAAAAUUAAAGAUUUUGGCGGUAUUUUAGUCUUUUCAGAGGAACCUGUUCUAUAAUUGAUAAUCCACGAUUAAUUGGACUUUUAUUAUUAAUUUGUAUAUCGUCGUAUAAGAAUAUUUUAAAAGAAAUUGAAUAUUCAAUAUUUUUUAUUUAAUUAUAAAUCAGAUCAAGGUGCAGUUUAUAUAAAAGAAGAAAUGGGUUACAAUAAAUAAAUUUAUAUGGAUAUAAAAAUGAAAUUUUUUAUUGAAAGUGGAUUUGAGAGUAAUUUUAUUUAUUUAAAUAAUAUGAUUUUAGCUCUAAAAUAUGUACAUAUCGCCCGUCGCUUUCAUUUAAAGUGAAAUAAGUCGUAACAAAGUAGAUUUACUGGAAAGUGAAUCUUGAAGA
rnacentral:ncRNA from 1 species